UUAGAACUCAGCUUAACCCGUCGCCGCAAAGGUGUCGGGCGGGGUCUGUCACGCCGGCAACAGGCCCCUUUUUGGCGGAACUGUCCGCCAGGCCUCCCCAGGGGGCCAACGGGACAUAACAGUCAAC
rnacentral:ncRNA from 1 species